rnacentral:rRNA from 1 species
GAGUUUGAUCCUGGCUCAGAUUGAACGCUGGCGGCAGGCCUAACACAUGCAAGUCGAACGGUAACAGAAAGUGCUUGCACUUUGCUGACGAGUGGCGGACGGGUGAGUAAUGCUUGGGAACUUGCCUUUGCGAGGGGGAUAACCAUUGGAAACGAUGGCUAAUACCGCAUAAUGUUUUCGAACCAAAGUGGGCUUAGGCUCACGCGCAGAGAGAGGCCCAAGUGAGAUUAGCUAGUUGGUAAGGUAAAGGCUUACCAAGGCGACGAUCUCUAGCUGUUCUGAGAGGAAGAUCAGCCACACUGGGACUGAGACACGGCCCAGACUCCUACGGGAGGCAGCAGUGGGGAAUAUUGCACAAUGGGGGGAACCCUGAUGCAGCCAUGCCGCGUGUGUGAAGAAGGCCUUCGGGUUGUAAAGCACUUUCAGUGGUGAGGAAAAGUUAGUAGUUAAUACCUGCUAGCCGUGACGUUAACCACAGAAGAAGCACCGGCUAACUCCGUGCCAGCAGCCGCGGUAAUACGGAGGGUGCGAGCGUUAAUCGGAAUUACUGGGCGUAAAGCGCACGCAGGCGGUUU